UCAGGUCAACUUAAUUGAAUAAUGCAAUGAAUGCAAUAUUCUUGUUCUUUAAACAGCAUCAGCGUUGGACCCGCGAUUUAAAGAACUGCCCUACCUUGAAAAAGAGGACAGAGAACAGGUCUACACAAAACUGGUUUUUGAGGCAGAAGUGUCCCACCAGAUGCAAGCAAUGGGAAAUCAGGAGGAAGACGAGGGAAGCUCAAGCACAAAGCUGUCAGGAUUCAAUGAAGAGACCACAGCUCCAAAUGAGUCACUUCCUUGUAAGAAGAAAGCCUUAGAUGCGCUGUUUGGCGAUUCCUUCACCCAAAGAGAAAGAAAAUCCACAAGCGAGACAGCCAGAGCAGAGGUGUUAAGGUACCGA